rnacentral:misc_RNA from 1 species
GAUGAAGAACGUAGCGAAAUGCGAUAAGUAAUGUGAAUUGCAGAAUUCAGUGAAUCAUCGAAUCUUUGAACGCACAUUGCGCCCGCCAGUAUUCUGGCGGGCAUGCCUGUUCGAGCGUCAUUUCAACCCUCAAGCCCAGCUUGGUGUUGGGGAUCGGCACAGGCGCCCUCGGGCGCCCGCCGUCCCCUAAAUCUAGUGUCGGUCCCGCUGCAGCCUCCUCUGCGUAGUAGUUUUCUCCUCGCAAGGGCAGCUCGGUGGCGACCUCGCCGUAAAACCCCCAACUUCUGAAAGGUUGACCUCGAAUCAGGUAGGAAUACCCGCUGAACUUAAGCAUAUCAAUAAGCGGAGGA